rnacentral:rRNA from 1 species
UACGUAGGGUGCAAGCGUUAUCCGGAAUUAUUGGGCGUAAAGAGCUCGUAGGCGGUUUGUCGCGUCUGCUGUGAAAACUGGGGGCUCAACCCCCAGCCUGCAGUGGGUACGGGCAGACUAGAGUGCGGUAGGGGAGAUUGGAAUUCCUGGUGUAGCGGUGAAAUGCGCAGAUAUCAGGAGGAACACCGGUGGCGAAGGCGGUUCUCUGGGCAUUACCUGACGCUGAGGAGCGAAAGUGUGGGGAGCGAACAGG